rnacentral:rRNA from 1 species
UACGUAGGGGGGCUAGCGUUGUCCGGAUUUAUUGGGCGUAAAGAGCGUGUAGGCGGCCAGGUAGGUCUGGUGUGAAAACUCGAGGCUUAACCUCGAGAUGUCAUCGGAAACCAUCUGGCUAGAGUCCGGAAGAGGAGAGUGGAAUUCCUGGUGUAGCGGUGAAAUGCGCAGAUAUCAGGAAGAACACCAAUGGCGAAAGCAGCUU